AGCGGCGGACGGGUGAGUAACACGUGGGUAACCUGCCCAAGAGACUGGGAUAACACCUGGAAACAGAUGCUAAUACCGGAUAACAACACUAGACGCAUGUCUAGAGUUUGAAGGAUGGUUCUGCUAUCACUCUUGGAUGGACCUGCGGUGCAUUAGCUAGUUGGUAAGGUAACGGCUUACCAAGGCAAUGAUGCAUAGCCGAGUUGAGAGACUGAUCGGCCACAUUGGGACUGAGACACGGCCCAAACUCCUACGGGAGGCAGCAGUAGGGAAUCUUCCACAAUGGACGAAAGUCUGAUGGAGCAACGCCGCGUGAGUGAAGAAGGGUUUCGGCUCGUAAAGCUCUGUUGGUAGUGAAGAAAGAUAGAGGUAGUAACUGGCCUUUAUUUGACGGUAAUUACUUAGAAAGUCACGGCUAACUACGUGCCAGCAGCCGCGGUAAUACGUAGGUGGCAAGCGUUGUCCGGAUUUAUUGGGCGUAAAGCGAGUGCAGGCGGUUCAAUAAGUCUGAUGUGAAAGCCUUCGGCUCAACCGGAGAAUUGCAUCAGAAACUGUUGAACUUGAGUGCAGAAGAGGAGAGUGGAACUCCAUGUGUAGCGGUGGAAUGCGUAGAUAUAUGGAAGAACACCAGUGGCGAAGGCGGCUCUCUGGUCUGCAACUGACGCUGAGGCUCGAAAGCAUGGGUAGCGAACAGGAUUAGAUACCCUGGUAGUCCAUGCCGUAAACGAUGAGUGCUAAGUGU
rnacentral:rRNA from 1 species